rfam:Corynebacterium glyciniphilum AJ 3170, complete genome.
CCCCCGGUACCGUGCGGAUGUGCGACGGAGUCCACGGUUCCGGGAACUCCUGACAUCCUCCAUCGCACCGCCUGACCACAAUCACGCGGCCCAAACCACGGGAGAGAACGCUGAGCGUUACAAC